rnacentral:lncRNA from 1 species
UCAGUUAAGUCACCUACUGCAAUUGGAAUUGAACCACUAAGCUGAUUAUCAGACAAUUCCAAAUCAGUGAGGUCUUUCAAAUUCCCCAACUCACUAGGAAUGGGACCAGAAAGUUGGUUAGAAUGAAGGUACAAACUCUUGAGUUUGGUUAAGUCUCCUACAACAGUUGGAAUUGAACCACUAAGAUGAUUAUGAGACAAUUCCAAAUCAGUGAGGUCUUUCAAAUUCCCCAACUCACUAGGAAUGGGACCAGAAAGUUGGUUAGAAUGAAGGUACAAACUCUUGAGUUUGGUUAAGUCUCCUACAACAGUUGGAAUUGAACCACUAAGAUGAUUAUCAGACAAUUCCAAAUCAGUGAGGUCUUUCAAAUUCCCCAACUCACUAGGAAUGGGACCAGAAAGUUGGUUAGAAUAAAGGUACAGACUUUUGAGCUCAGUUAAGUCACCUACUGCAAUUGGAAUUGAACCACUAAGCUGAUUAUCAGACAAUGACAAAUCAGUGAGUUUUUUCAAAUUCCCCAACUCACUAGGAAUGGGACCAGAAAGUUGGUUAGAAUAAAGGUACAGACUUUUGAGCUCAGUUAAGUCACCUACUGCAAUUGGAAUUGAACCACUAAGCUGAUUAUCAGACAAUGCCAAAUCAGUGAGUUUUUUCAAAUUCCCCAACUCACUAGGAAUGGGACCAGAAAGUUGGUUAGAAUAAAGGUACAGACUUUUGAGCUCAGUUAAGUCACCUACUGCAAUUGGAAUUGAACCAGUAAGCUGAUUAUGAGACAAUGCCAAAUCAUUGAG